CCCUUAGAUGUCCUGGGCCGCACGCGCGUUACACUGAUGCAUUCAACGAGCUUAUAACCUUGGCCGAGAGGCCUGGGCAAUCUUGUUAACGUGCAUCGUGAUAGGGAUAGAUUAUUGAAAUUAUUAAUCUUGAACGAGGAAUUCCUAGUAAACGCAGAUCAUCAAUCUGCAUUGAUUACGUCCCUGCCCUUUGUACACACCACCCGUCGCACCUACCGAUUGGAUGGUCCGGUGAAGCCUCGGGAUUGUGGUUCUUGCCGCUUUAUUGUAGCGUGACCGCGAGAACUUGUCUAAACCUUAUCAUCUAGAGGAAGGUGAAGUCGUAACA
rnacentral:rRNA from 1 species